rnacentral:sRNA from 1 species
UAGAGUCCUCACCACAGGUGUGGUGGCGU